GGAUUAGUCAGAAUUAUGAGAGUAGCGGGUGGAAUUCCAUCAGGACUGGGUGAGAUUGGUCAGAAUUCCUUCGGGUGUUAGUUGGAUUGGUCAGAAUUUGUUCAGGUAUUGGUGGGAUUGGUCAGUAUUCCAUCAGGAAUGCGUGGGAUUGGUCAGAAUUCCUUCGGGUGUUAGUUGGAUUGGACAGAAUUUGUUCAGGUAUUGGUGGGAUUGGUCAGUAUUCCAUCAGGACUGGGUGAGAUUGGUCAGAAUUCCUUUGGGUGUUAGUUGGAUUGGUCAGAAUUUGUUCAGGUAUUGGUGGGAUUGGUCAGUAUUCCAUCAGGAAUGCGUGGGAUUGGUCAGAAUUCCUUCAGGUGUUAGUUGGAUUGGUCAGAAUUUGUUCAGGUAUUGGUGGGAUUGGUCAGAAUUCCAUCAGGACUGGGUGGGAUUGAUCAGAAUUGCAUCGUGAGUGGGUGGGGCUGGUUUAUUAGUGCAAUAGAGAACAUUUUAAAAAAACGCACUCCAAUUAACAUUAACAUUCGUACACAGGCUGCAAAUUCUUUAGGCUACGAUGUUAGUACAACAAUUGUGCAAAAUAAUAAUUCUAUAUAUCAUAUUUAAUUAACACUAUUUAAGGAUCU
ensembl:lncRNA